CAACAGUGGGAAGGAAAAACUCCCUUUUAACAGGAAGAAACCUCCGGCAGAACCAGGUUCAGGAAGGUGCGGCCAUCUGCAGCGACUGGUUGGGGUGAGAGAAGGAAGACAGGAUAACAGACAUGCAGAUCUUCUCGGUACUUCACAGCCACAAUUCAUGCUCGUGCUCCAGGAUUCUCUGGAUCAUUCUGUCUGGACUCACCACCAACAGGAUACUCACCUGGACCUCUCUGACCGUCUCCCCCACGCUGUGCUCCACCUGCUAACCAAAAAUAACUGCAGACGACAGAAAGAGGCUUGCCAAAGAAGCUAUAACAAAAGAUGCAACGUACGCCACAGAAGCCGAUGCUGCUGUGUGAAAACGAAAGACGGUCUUACUGGACAAGCGUUUGUCAGGAUCCUCUGUGUCCUCAUCCACUGUGUCGUCUGGGACGGCAUCCUCCGGGAUGGCUUGCAUCUGAACCCCUGGAGCAUGAGGCAGCAUCCGCAGGUUCUCAAA